AGUUCACUAUUAAACUGCAAAGUACAGAAAGAACAUAUUAUAAUUCAUUUUGCGCUUGAGCUUAUAUUUGAAUAAAAUGUACAAGUUCACUAUAUUUUUGUUUAUAUCGUGUUUGUUAGCUGUUAACCCUACACAGGGUGCAAACGACCAAGACAAGGUUAUAAAAAAAGCGUUCGAUUACUGUCUAGCGAAAAUUGGAUUGUCUGUCAAAACUAUUAACCUGUCUAUAUUUUUCACGUUUGUGGGAGAUAACACAACUAAUAGAACUAUUGUAAGAAAUUCUUCCUUUGGGAAGCUUCCAACAAAUCAACAAAACGCUAUGAAUCAGGAACAGUUUAAGAACCUUGUAAUAGAAAUUAGCGACAAGUCAUAUGGUGGUGAUGUUGUUAAGUUUUUAACGGAGAAAAUGGUAUAAUGCUAACUUGAACUGGAUCGACAGAAAAAAUUCUAAAACACUACCUAUUCAUAACCAAAUUAUGAUAAAAUCAAUCAGCUAAUUGUCGUACCAUAAUGUUUACGUUUAAUAUGGUAUUAUUAUAAUUUUUUGUCUUAAGCUUUAAGAAAUCAAUAAUAAUUGUAUUAUCUGUAAAAUGUUUUAACAUAUUGUAAUAAACUGUAUAAAAAAUAUAAAUUUAUUGAAAUGA